GCCCCUGUCAUAUAAAGGCUAUUAUGCCUGUUUUGUAAUCAGGUUAUUGCGGUUCGAAUCCGUACUGGGGCACCA
rnacentral:tRNA from 2 species